rnacentral:misc_RNA from 1 species
AAAUCCUUCAAAGUACGCACACAGUCAUCCUGCAUUGCUGUGUCUGAGUAGAUAUUGUUAGAGUAUAUAUAUAUAUAGACAACUCAAAAUUGUGAACAGUGAAUGUAUUUGAUAUUUGAUAAAGAGUUACUGAUGGCUGUUUUUGAAUCUACGAGGAUUGUUGUGGAUCAAUAUCUGAACAAAGAAAAUAUGAAAAGAAAAGAGAAUUUUCUCUAUGCAGAAUGUGAGAAAUCCAGGAGACUUGAAGUAAAUUUUCCAGGGAGAGGGCAUGAGGGAACUACCUCUGAGCCUAGAUUAAAGCUGAGAAGAUUUGAAGAAUUGAUGAAACCGUUAUCUAAUCCAUCAUCAGUUCCACUUGACGUUUCAUAUCAAGACAUUUAUACUCAACAUGUUCUUGCCUCUUACCAGGUUAAAGCAAGUCAACUUCAACAUUCCUCAAAACAUUCUUCUUCUCCACAGCCUGUUCUACCAUCUCAACAUGCAAUCCUUUCAAUCCAUCCAAUCCAGACUUCAUCGACUUUAUCUCCUUAUACCAUUCUAGCUCCUUUAUCAAGCUCCGGACCAUCUCACGUCCUCACUACUACUCCGCCUCCUACCUACCAUAAACAGUUUUCCAGAAUCGAAUCUCACGCAAACCCAACUAGCCACUUUUACCCAAUGUCAGAAAGUCAACCAGACCAAAAACCCAUUCCAGUUCAUCAAAAGAAUUUACCCCGCUUGGAUCCUCUUCCGAGAUCACAUUCAUUUCCCUGGCCAACCACUUCUCUACCACCUCUUGAACCUUUAAACAAAAAAGAACCUACAAACCGUUUAAAGGAUCCAAACUCCAACCUGACGGAUAAAGAUGUCCCUUCUAAACAGAAUUCUACAUCAACAAGUUCUAUUGAGAGGCUUGACAAUCACAUUGCAUUCAAGAUGAAAACUAAUGGCCAGCAAGAAACAGAAACUCUUCACACCAAAAAAUACAUUGCCAAUGAUGCAACUACAAAAAAACUUGAACAUUGCAAUAAUAUGUCCUUCACAGCUCAGGAAGUUGAUGGAAAAUGUAAACAGAGCAUUGAAGACUUAGUAGAUCAGGUUAUGGCAGAGGAGUCAUUUGCUUCUUUAGAAAGUAAAAGAUUAAUGUCUUCACCAAGUAAGGAAGCUUCCAAUGAGAAAAUGCUGUAUACAUUUAAAGAAGUCGAAAUGAAGAAGAAAAAUCCAAAACUUAAAUUUCUACUCAUUUCAAAAAGUGUCCCCUGUGCGAUUCCAAUUAGAGAUACCCCACAAAACGCCCUACAAAGUGAAAAGUUAAAUGAAUUGAUAAAUUCACGAACAAAUUUUCUAGAUAAAACCAUUCAUUCUGAUCAAAGCGCAAAUUUGAGUUUAGCAAGUGAGGUUAAUGCUACUCCAGAUAAUGCUCAGAGGUUACAAUGCCGUCCAAGCCAACCAAUUCUCAUUCAGGACAUUAAAAACCUCACGAGAAACACCAGCAAGCUAGAAGAAAACAGUAAAAUUGAAAAAGAAGUUUCCGGCAUCAAAGACCAGUUAGAUAUGCAAACCAGUGAUAAAAGCUUGGUUAAAAGUUCUGAGAUGAUGAAUGGGUUUGGACAAGUGGGUGCUGAUAAUAUUCAGUUAGAACAAACAACUAGGGCUUUGGAAAUGAUUCAGCUGAGAGCGGAAAAUUGCAAAGAAGCGAAAAAAUUGAUUGGCGACAUUACAAAAAUAAGGCGGAAUGCAGAAAAAGACCUGAACCUGGUUCUUUAUCAAGAUCUUUUAGGAAACUAUGCUUUGCAUACUGCUGUAUUGCUGAGGAAUCCUAAGCUAGUUCGAAGGUAUUCUCUUGCCAUGAAGAUAUUCAACAUACCUCUUGAUGUACGAAAUAGAAAUGGCGAGACAGCUCUACAGCUGAGUUUACACCUGGGAGAGCUGGAAACAAUGAAGGAACUUCUUAUUCAAGGAGCCUCACUUACAACUCCAGACAAUCAGGGAAACACUGUGGCACAUCUUUUGGUGUUAGCAACCAAUUCUCCGAUUUUUAACAUUGCUCACCAAUAUUUAGAUCAAAACAUUUUGGACAGAAUGACGCAGGCUUCACUCCACUUCAUCUAGCAGUUUUAUCCAGAAACGAAGAGAAAAUAAUUAAACUUCUUGAUAUGGGAGCUAAUCCUCACAUUCAGAAUAAUUUGACUGGAGAGACUCCACUGUGUCUGCUUGAUCGUCGCCAUCUUAAUCAAGAAUUUGUUAGUCUUCUCCAAUCCAAG